AGAUGGUGCAUUGAAUGGUUACUAAAUCUCGCAAAAAUAAGAAAUUAAACAAAACUUAAAUCUAUCAGGAUCCCUGAGAGGUAUAGUAAUGACUUUUCUUAUAAAAUUUAUAAAAAUUACACUUUUAAAUUAGCAAGUAACAGAUGGUAUAUGUCAUUUAUUGGGGAAUGAAUAUAGCCAUUUGGCAACCUUGCAAUGUGUAUUUGGUUUAAAAUAAAAUCAAAACAUUUUUUGUUGAAGCAAAUUUGAAAAUAAUAUACUAUUGUUAAUAACCAGUACAAAUAUGUCAUUUCCAUGAAUGCGGCACGAAAAGUACGUGAAGUAUUUUUAAGCUAUUAAUCGGAAUACGUCGUAUAACGCCGAUAUAAACAAACCCUUUAUUCUAACCUAAGAACAAUGUCGUCAAUAUCUAAAGAGAAGCACCCAACGCAAACGAAAAUGAAUUCCACGAAUCUGUAUGUGACAACAACACAGAUAAUACUAAGAUCAGAUCCAAAUAAUCCCGGGUCCUGGCAGGAUCUGUACCGACUAGUACCAUACCUACGCAACUCCUUGUGUUGUGUUGUAUGUUCCAACCUGUUAGUGGAACCUCAUUCGCCAGUUAAUGCUCAGUGCCAGCAUCACGUAUGCAAGAGAUGUAAAGGUGGAAGAAAAAGGUUAAAACCAGCUUGUGAAAAUUGUAAAGAUUGCCAAGACUAUGGAGAAAAUAAGAGUUUGCGUAUCCUAAUGCAGAUGUAUAAAAAAAUGUGUUUGACUAUAAUGAACUCCCCAAUUUUCCUUUGCAUUAAAUCUCAAGCCUGCCAACCUGGUACAGGUUUCGAGAGGGGGGCAAGUAAUUUAAUUCAACUUAUCAGAGAAGGUGCUCAAUUUGAAGAUGACUAUAAAAGCCAAGGCGGUCUGCCAAAAUCAACAUAUUCUAUACUACCCUGCAUUUACACAAAAUCCGCUUGUCCUCAGAAUAUUCCUGCAUUGCAAAAUUUAGGAGAGACCUCAAAAAAUUUACCAUGUAGUCAAAAUAGAUCAUUAUAUUCAGUUGUUUAUCCAGGUUCGGGAAAUAAAAUUACUAUUAAGAGAAAGCCAAAGGAUAGUACAAAUUGUAAUACAACAAAUAAUGCACUUGUUAAUAGCAUAAGUUCAUGUAAACCAAAGGAAAUUUCUGAAAAGGGAAUAUUUAAAAAACCCUGCAUGAAAGCAAAAAAAGGAUGCAGAUGUGGGAACGCAACCGCAACACCCGGGAAAUUAACAUGUUGCGGUCAACGAUGUCCCUGCUAUGUAGAAAGUAAAGCUUGCAUAGAUUGUAAAUGCCGUGGUUGUCGGAAUCCUCACAGACCUGAUGGGAAUAAAGUUAUGCCCUAUCUACAAGAACUUGAUUCCUCACAAAUGGUAAUGUCUUCAAUCUCCGAAAUGCGCCUACAACAUUUGCAACUGCUACCAACUUCAUCUUCACAGCAACAUUCUCAACAUUUAUUAGACGACACAAUGCAACCUGUUAAGUUAGAGGGUCUUCAAUUAGAAACACAGUUUUUUACAACAGACGCUAUGAAUCAACAAUAUAAAGCCUACAAGUGUAAGAAUACCCUAAAUUUAUUAACCUAGUGCUGUCCAUAGAGUUGAAGAGUUUAUUAUGGUAGUGGCAACACUGCAUGGUGCGUUUUACUUUGUUUUUAACCUAUUGAAUGUAUUGGGAAGCAGCUUCGACCCAAUUCAGUCAUUAACAACGUCAGAUUUAAUAACGUAUGGACUAAGCGAAGAAGAAGAAGAUGAUACGGAAAUAACAGUAGUAUGACCUUUAGACCCUGGUAUGUCAAUUUUAGAUGAUUUAUAAUGAUUGAUUUUUUAAAACAAAAUUAUAUCUUUUUAUUUAAAGGAUUAUGAUCUAGUAACAUAGAAGUUGAUCCUUUAAUAUUUUUUGAUAUUUUAUACAUGUGGUAUUUUCUCAACAACGAAGGUAUACUUCAUACUGUAUAUGGUCUGCCCAUGAUGACUGCACAGGCAUUCAUUUUUGAAUUUCCAACAACUGAACUUCAAACAAAAGAGCUAGGAUUUAUAUUUAUAUUUUAAUUAUAUACAUCUUAAUAUAUUAUAUUUAUAUUAGAAUAUCCAGUUCAUUCUGUUAAAAUCAAAUAUACGCUAAAGGAACAAUUAGAUUCCUUUCCCUUUUCAUAAAAAAUCACGAAACUCUAUAUUAUUAUAUAGAUAACAUAAAAUUUUGGAUAGUCUAUCGAUUCUAAAAAACAAAAAUGUACUUAAUAGCUCUCGUUUUGAGGUUCAUUUAAAGUUUUUAGUUUGUUAUUUUUCGUUGCCUCGAAUAAUACAGGGAAAGUCAAAACUAACUAUUUGUUCAGUACUCUUUGGCGGACCCUGUACAGAGAUCGAAUUAUGAAGCUCUGUUCAAUUGUGGUUUUUAAAAACUGCAGCAGUUGAAUCAAAAAUUAUAACUGGGAAAAAUGUUAUUGAUGGGAAUUGUGGAAGGGAUAUAAGUUAUUUACAACGCUUCUAUUAUUGUUUAAGUGAUAACUCAACUUAGGGAACUUAUUUUUACCUUAUUUAUUUCCUAGUUUUAUUUAUUAAAUGCACCAAAAUUGUUUUGUACAUUGUAAUUUGUAGUGCUGAUGUUUUUGAGGUUAUUUCUUCACCCAUUCUUUCCAUAUCGCAAUAAGUGUUGUUGAUUUUCUAUGUUGUGAAGGAUGGACCUCAAAUUAUUCAACUUUUGUAUUUUAAGGAUAAUAACAUACAUUUACGUAUGUUUGUUGUUGUGAUAUUUAAUCCAUAAGAUAAAUUUAACUAUUUUUUUAAAAACGGAAAGAUUAUAUAAGAUCAGGUAAGUCUCGUGCGAAAUAAAUGUGAAUAAAUGGAAACGAUUUUGACUAAUGCGUUUUUCUAUUUAAUUUUAAAAUUUGUUUUUAAUUAAUGACGUAGAUUUAACUGUGUAUCAAGCAGCGUCGCAUUUGUGAGGGAGUCGCCGGAUUGGGUGAUUUAUAAUAAAUUGGCAAUAAAAAUUUACAACAUGAACAGUGUG